rnacentral:misc_RNA from 1 species
AAUGAAGCCGGGAAACCGGUCCUUCUAACCCUUGAUUAUCUUAAUUUGUUGCUUUGGUGGGCCGCGCAAGCACCGGCUUCGGCUGGAUUGUGCCCGCCAGAGGACCUAAACUCUGUUUGUCUAUAAUGUCUGAGUACUAUAUAAUAGUUAAAACUUUCAACAACGGAUCUCUUGGUUCU